ensembl:snRNA U2 U2 spliceosomal RNA
AUAACUUCUCAGCCUUUUGGCUAGGAUCAAGUGCAGUCUCUGUUCAUGUGUAAUAUUUAGGUAUUUUAAAAUUAAAUAUAAAAAUAAGUGCAAUGUUUUCUCAUUCACUGCAUUUUCUUGCAUUUUGCUUCUCCUCACUCUUUACCUACCAGAACAGAGAGAGAUUGUAAGAGAGGACGCAUC